CCUCACUUGGUUUCCAUUUCCUCAUUUUAGAGUGGAAUAAUAGUCCUUGGUUCUUUGGACAACCGGGAGAAUUGUAUAUUCUGAAGCCCGUCGUAAGCACCCAACCAUUAAUAUUGCCAUGCUUCUCUGUGCUUCCCAUGGAGCCUGAGGCUUGAAGAACUGUGCAGUGAGGUAGCAACUCACAUCUCUAGCUGUUGGGCUGUCCUGCCAGUGAUGUCUGCUCAGUAGAACAAGAGGCAUGUUUACGCCAUGAUAUGGAGGUUUUCCCAAGACCUCUGGAGCACGGGUCAGGACCCAGGACACAUGGAGAAGCCCCAGAGAGAAGACAGAUUUGGGAGGGGGAUGGAGAAAGACUGCAGACCAGACAAGAGAGGAAUGACAUGCUUCGGCUGUGUUCCCACUCAAAUCUCAUCUUGAAUUGUAGUUCCCGUAAUUUCCACAGGUCAUGGGAGGAACCCAAUAGGAGGUUAGUUUCCCUUAGUGAAGUAUUGAUGACCAAGUGAUGCUAACAGCAACAGUGUUACAAGCUUUUAACGCUUUGAGGUGGAAACUUUGGGAGUUGAUUAAGUCAUGAGGGUGGAGCCUGAUGAGUGGAAUCAGUAAAUGUUGAUCAAAAAAUUAAAAACUUCAGUUAGAUAGGAACAAUAGGUUCAAGAACUCCAUGGUACAAUAUGGUGACUAAAAUUAAUAGCAAUUCGUUGUGUUCUUGAAAAUCACGUAAGAGUAGAUUCUAAGAGUUCUUACCACAGAAAAUGAUACGUAUGUGAGGCAAUACAUGUGUUAAUUAGCUUGAUUUAGCCAUUCCACAAUGUAAGCAUAUUUGAAAACAAUUGCUUGUCAAUUUAAAAUAAUUAAGUAGUGGCUGAGCGCCAUGGCUCACGCCUAUAAUCCCAGCACUUUGGGAGGCCUAGGCAGGUGGAUCACAAGGUCAAGAGAUCGAGACCAUCUUGGACAACAUGGUGAAACCCCAUCUCUACUAAAAAUACAAAAAUUAGCAGGGCCUGGUGGUGUGCCCCUGUAGUCCCAGCUACUUGGGAGGCUGAGGUGGAAGAAUUGCUUGAACCCAGAAGGCAAAUGGCCGAGAUUGUGCCAUUGCACUUCAGCCUGGGUAACAAGAGCAAAACUCUUUCUCAAAAAAAAAAGAAUUACUUAGUAAACUAGUUUAGAAACAAAAAAACGGCCCUAGAGAGACACCUUCCACUGCAUAAGGACAGAGAAAGAAGUCCAUAAUCUGCAACUCAAAAGAGGGUCCUCACCAGAAUUCCACCAUGCCAGCACCCUACCCUAAGAUUUCAGCUCUCAGAGCUGUGAGAAAUAAAUUUCUGUUUUUU
rnacentral:lncRNA from 13 species